GGGGAAUAUUGCACAAUGGGCGAAAGCCUGAUGCAGCAACGCCGCGUGAGUGAUGAAGGUUUUCGGAUCGUAAACCUCUGUCAGAAGGGAAUAAACCCCCGUACGUGUACGGGGCUGAAGGUACCUGAAGAAUAAGCAUCGGCUAACUCCGUGCCAGCAGCCGCGGUAAUACGGAGGAUGCAAGCGUUAUCCGGAUUCAUUGGGUUUAAAGGGUGCGCAGGCGGAUUGAUAAGUCAGGGGUGAAAUCCCACGGCUCAACUGUGGAACUGCCUUUGAUACUGUUAGUCUUGAGUAUAGUUGAAGUGGGCGGAAUGUGUCAUGUAGCGGUGAAAUGCUUAGAUAUGACACAGAACACCGAUCGCGAAGGCAGCUCGCUAAGCUAUAACUGACGCUCAUGCACGAAAGCGUGGGGAUCAAACA
rnacentral:rRNA from 1 species